UUCAGCCCUUUGUCUGAUACACGUUUAACCAGUGCUUCUUGGCAAUGAAAGCUGUGAGAGUCUGACCCCGUGCCAGCAGGCGGCCUUGCCCUGGGCGACCUGCCUGCUGAGACCAGUGACACCACCAAGGGAACAUACACAGCUCUCAUGGGUGACCCUACAAUCACGAGGCAGCACGCACAUGCGGCUCCCUUGGGUGUCCCUACCAUCACGAGGCAGCCUGCACAGUCCCUGGGAGUUCGUACAACAUCAUAUAACAGAAAGGUCCAGCUGACAGCCUGAUUCUGGGAGGGACUGAUCCCCAGCUCCUAUGAAAGCCAUAGGAUCUCAGCACCUUUCAGGAAUGCACGUUCAUGUCCUUCACCAAGACUGCUUCUCAGCUCCCUUUGUUGUCACCAAUGGAGUAAAACAUGGCUGUGUUCUUGCUCCAACACUAUUUGGCAUCAUGUUUGCAGUUGUUAUAGCAGAUGCGUUCAGAGACAUUGAUUGUGGCAUUUAUGUGCAGUACAGUGUGGAUGGAGGUAUCUUGAAUAUGCAUUGCCUGCCUGUGAGGACAAAAGUUAUGAAGACAAUUAUUCAUGAACUUCUGUUCACCGAUGAUUGUGCUUUUUUGGUCCAGGAACACUCAGUUGCUCACUGACUGCUUUGCGUUUGCCACAAAAUGUUUUGGCUUAACUAUCAGCCUAAAGAAGACAGAAGUCAUGGUCCAGACUUGACUAGGUCGUACCGCAACUACUCCAUUUGUGGCCAUCAAUGAGGUUGUUGACAAAUUUUGACAGGCAAUGUCAUUUAACAAGAUGCAAUGACUGACGACAGCAUUACCAAGCACAUUGGUGCAGCAGCGAUGCCUUCAGAAAUCUUCGUCAUUGUUUCUGAAAAAACAGUGUCAAACUGUAAACACAAAUGGAUGUUAACUGUGUCGUUGUCAUCACCACACUCCUCUACUGCUGCAGUACGUGCACUACUUAUCAACACCAUCUAAGAUACUUGGACCAAUUCCACCUACGAUGUCUAUGGUGGAUAAUGGGAAUAAAAUGGUAAGAUUUGGUUCCAAAUGUUGUCAGAAGUGUGGUGCUCUGCUCUGUUCAAUGUUGAUAACAAUCAGCUGCAUGCACGUGUUCCCUCUGUGUGCUGCCCCAGCUCCGCAGAUCGCUGACACAGCAGACCCCGAGAGAACCCCCAAUGACCACAGACUCUGAUACGGUAUGAAGGCACCCGGCCAGGCUUAUUGCCAAAUGAAACACAGUCUCUAGCUCCCUGGAUCAGAUGUCUACAGUUCUGCUAGUACAUAUGUACUCCCUGA